GACGAACGCUGGCGGCGUGCUUAACACAUGCAAGUCGAACGGAAAGGCCCUGCUUUUGUGGGGUUCUCGAGUGGCGAACGGGUGAGUAACACGUGAGUAACCUGCCCUUGACUUUGGUAUAACUUCAGGAAACUGGGGCUAAUACCGUAUCGGAGCUCCUGCUGCAUUGUGGGGUUGGGAACUUUUGGCCGUGGGGGAUUGACUGCCGGGUUAUCAGCUUGUUGGGGGGGUAGUGGCUUACCCAGGCCUUGACGGGUUGCCGGCCUGAGAGGGUGACCGGCCACAUUGGGACUGAGAUACGGCCCAGACUCCUACGGGAGGCAGCAGUGGGGAAUAUUGCACAAUGGGCGGAAGCCUGAUGCAGCAACGCCGCGUGCGGGAUGACGGCCUUCGGGUUGUAAACCGCUUUCGCCUGUGACGAAGCGUGAGUGACGGUAAUGGGUAAAGAAGCACCGGCUAACUACGUG
rnacentral:rRNA from 1 species